rnacentral:rRNA from 1 species
UACGUAGGUGGCAAGCGUUGUCCGGAUUUACUGGGUGUAAAGGGCGUGUAGCCGGCGCGUUAAGCCUGGUGUGAAAGCCCGCGGCCCAACCGCGGGACUGCAUUGGGAACUGGCGCGCUGGAGUGCCGGAGGGGUAGGCGGAAUUCCUAGUGUAGCGGUGAAAUGCGUAGAUAUUAGGAGGAACACCAGUGGCGAAGGCGGCCUACUGGACGGUGACUGACGCUGAGGCUCGAAAGCGUGGGGAGCAAACAGG